UGCAAGUCGAACGGUGUCUUCGGACACAGUGGCGGACGGGUGAGUAACGCGUGAGAAUCUGGCUUUAGGUCUGGGACAACCACUGGAAACGGUGGCUAAUACCGGAUGUGCCCUUCGGGGUGAAAGAUUAAUUGCCUGAAGAUGAGCUCGCGUCUGAUUAGCUAGUAGGUGUGGUAAAGGCGCACCUAGGCGACGAUCAGUAGCUGGUCUGAGAGGACGAUCAGCCACACUGGGACUGAGACACGGCCCAGACUCCUACGGGAGGCAGCAGUGGGGAAUUUUCCGCAAUGGGCGAAAGCCUGACGGAGCAAUACCGCGUGAGGGAGGAAGGCUCUUGGGUCGUAAACCUCUUUUCUCAGGGAAGAACACAAUGACGGUACCUGAGGAAUAAGCAUCGGCUAACUCCGUGCCAGCAGCCGCGGUAAUACGGAGGAUGCAAGCGUUAUCCGGAAUGAUUGGGCGUAAAGCGUCCGCAGGUGGCAAUGUAAGUCUGCUGUUAAAGAGUGAGGCUCAACCUCAUAAGAGCAGUGGAAACUACAUAGCUAGAGUACGUUCGGGGCAGAGGGAAUUCCUGGUGUAGCGGUGAAAUGCGUAGAGAUCAGGAAGAACACCGGUGGCGAAGGCGCUCUGCUAGGCCGUAACUGACACUGAGGGACGAAAGCUAGGGGAGCGAAUGGGAUUAGAUACCCCAGUAGUCCUAGCCGUAAACGAUGGAUACUAGGCGUGGCUUGUAUCGACCCGAGCCGUGCCGUAGCUAACGCGUUAAGUAUCCCGCCUGGGGAGUACGCCGGCAACGGUGAAACUCAAAGGAAUUGACGGGGGCCCGCACAAGCGGUGGAGUAUGUGGUUUAAUUCGAUGCAACGCGAAGAACCUUACCAAGGCUUGACAUGUCGCGAAUCUCGGUGAAAGCUGAGAGUGCCUUCGGGAGCGCGAACACAGGUGGUGCAUGGCUGUCGUCAGCUCGUGUCGUGAGAUGUUGGGUUAAGUCCCGCAACGAGCGCAACCCUCGUUUUUAGUUGCCAGCAUUAAGUUGGGCACUCUAGAGAGACUGCCGGUGACAAACCGGAGGAAGGUGGGGAUGACGUCAAGUCAGCAUGCCCCUUACGCCUUGGGCUACACACGUACUACAAUGCUCCGGACAGAGGGCAGCAAGCAUGCGAAUGCAAGCAAAUCCCGUAAACCGGAGCUCAGUUCAGAUCGCAGGCUGCAACUCGCCUGCGUGAAGGAGGAAUCGCUAGUAAUUGCAGGUCAGCAUACUGCAGUGAAUUCGUUCCCGGGCCUUGUACACACCGCCCGUCACACCAUGGAAGCUGGUAGUGCCCGAAGUCAUUACUCCAACCUUUCGGGGAGGAGGAUGCCUAAGGCAGGACUGGUGACUGGGGUGAAGUC
rnacentral:rRNA from 1 species